AGAACGAACGCUGGCGGCAGGCUUAACACAUGCAAGUCGAGCGCCGUAGCAAUACGGAGCGGCAGACGGGUGAGUAACGCGUGGGAACAUACCCUCCGGUUCGGAAUAACUCAGGGAAACUUGAGCUAAUACCGGAUACGGCAUCUGAGAGAGAUCUCGGCGGCGAAAGAUUUAUCGCCGGAGGAUUGGCCCGCGUCCGAUUAGCUAGUUGGUGUGGUAAUGGCGCACCAAGGCGACGAUCGGUAGCUGGUCUGAGAGGAUGAUCAGCCACAUUGGGACUGAGACACGGCCCAAACUCCUACGGGAGGCAGCAGUGGGGAAUAUUGGACAAUGGGGGAAACCCUGAUCCAGCCAUGCCGCGUGAGUGAUGAAGGCCUUCGGGUUGUAAAACUCUUUCGACGGGGACGAUAAUGACGGUACCCGUAGAAGAAGCUCCGGCUAACUUCGUGCCAGCAGCCGC
rnacentral:rRNA from 1 species